AUGGCAGCAGGUCAAAAUCAAAAUCUGCAGAAUGCAGUGAAAAAGAAUACCCAGAGACAAGGCACGGGUGGUGGGUCACCAAAAGCUGACCUCAUCCCAGCAGAGGCCAGCUUUGGAGUUAAAUAAAGGCAGGCCUGUUGGAGGGAAUCCCUGGAGGAAAAGAGACAAGCAUAGGUCCCUCACAAGAUGCCACCCGCUUCAUACAAGUGUCUGGCAGCACUGUGUUACUGUUAAAGUCACCAGCACGAGCACCAGACGAUGCUGAUCCAGUGAGUACUCCAUCAAAGGCAUACUGUAGGCCUGGCAUGUCUUGUCUACUAGCUUCAAUAUGAAUCCGAUUAAAUGUGAUGGGGUCAAGGCCCCAUUUCAUCAGCACAUAACGGCGAUGAUGAUGA